GUUUUUGUAGGUUUUUUAUUAGACUAGGAAAUAUAAUUUAUUGCAUAAAAAUUAAUUUGUUACAAUAGGAAUGCUAAACUUUAUUUACAGUUCUUUAGUUUACAGAAUAAACAGACGCAGUUUUAGAGGAUGCCACCAGGCCCAUCCCCUGGACAUAUAAAUAUGGAAACAGAUUGUGGAGCAAGAGACGGACACUGCCAGCAUGACACGGACCACAGGUUUGCCUUUGCCAAAAUGCCUGGCCAGAGAAACCCCCAGUCACGGAGGGAAGCAGAAGGCUCCUGGGAGCUGGCUCCCAUGGGAGAUGGGCAGCAGGCACUCAGAGGAGCAGGGUGAGGAGCAAACCCUGCCUCCCCCCGUCCUGCUCCUAGUGCAGGUUCCCUGGUCUGAAAAAUGGGGAGAACCUCCCCAAACACACGCUGGUGGAUCCAGGCGGCUGCUGCCUGCCAAAAGCGGGGGAAGAUGAACACAGACAGACGGGGAUGGAGGCAGAGGCACCUACGGGUGGGACGGAUGGAUGGAUGGACGGAAGGGUGCGCAUGUUGGCGCAGUGAUCUGUGAACUAGAGACGGAAUGAAAGCGAGAGAGAUUCAGACACAACCAGAAAGAAGAGCAUCUCAUCUCACAGAGAGCACCCCAGCAUUGAGAAAGGAGCCCUAUAAAAUGCCAACAGCUGGUUUGAUCCAUCAAUUCUUCACUUCUUUCCAAAUUUGCUUAGUCUCCUUCAGCUCAGAGACGGGGUGUCAGAAAUCAGAUGAUCAAAUGCAACCUAAAGGAUGGACAAAACCCUUCCCAUGUGACACAGGAGCUCACCCAGCAGAAGUCUUCCCAUCUAGCACAGAGGAAAGAGAUCCCCUCUCUCUCACAACCUUGAAAACCCAGAAAGAAAGGAAUCCCAGAGACCCCAGAGUACAACAGGGAGCAGCUCUACACAUCUGAUCACUGCUUCAAGAGCUGCCAAGAGGAAUCAUACCUGUGCCCAAGCAAUACUGAAAACUCCUCCCGAGUCACCCUUCAAAGGCAAUGCUUUCAGUCAUGGCAUGGUUCCCCAAGUCCUGAGUUUGCUCCAGUUCCCAGUGUGCUGCAGGCACCCUGUAACACCGUGCCAGAGCUUUGCAGCCAGGACCUGCUCUUAAUACUUCCGCUGAUGGAGAAUCCACAGCCUUACCAUGUGAUCUAGUCUAAUCCUUUUAUUCAUUUAUUUAUUUUUAAACAGACAUUUCUAAGAUAUAGCACUCACUGAGUAACUAUUUCUAUCUGCAGGCAAUCUAAAUUUUUACCUUCAUUGGAACACCGUAUCUUUGCAAGGAACCUUGUUCCUGCCUACCUCUUGAUGACUUUCUAUUCAUUCUACAACUUCUCCAUCGUUAUAAAAGGUCUGUUACAGGGAAAAACAAAAAGGAGCUGCAAUGAGAAGAUGGAAACCCGAUUGCUGCUUAUGAUGCUGUCCCUCGCAUGAAAAUUCUCAGCCUGGCUUGCAACUUGGAGAUAUUGAGGUCUCCCUCCCUGAAUCCCUGCUGAAAUACUGCAUCAAAAAACAGGCACGAGCAUGUGGACUCGAGACCAAUGCAGUUUGCAUGGGGCUGCAUCCUGGCCCGCCAGCCCUCUGCUCUCUCUGGACCCCUGGCACAACCUGCUUAUCACCUCCUUCUGACCACAAAGCCUAGGUUUGGGGUGCUCACUGCAAAAACCCUGGCGGGUUUAAAACAUCCCGCCUUUGGCCUGUGGGUUGGUGCAGGACUGAAAUCUUUGGUUUGUACUGAAGUUAUGUAAAUGAAGGUGUAGUCAUCCUAAAAAGCUCCCCCAAAUGAUGCCAGGGAAGAAUUCAUUAAAAACACCCAUAUCUAGAUGCACUUCCCCCCUGAACCCUAAAUGCAGGGCAGAACCCCUCACUCAUCCUUGCAGGCGG
rnacentral:lncRNA from 1 species